rnacentral:rRNA from 1 species
AUGACGGCGCGCUGCGGGAAGGAGAUGGGGAUCGAGGGAAGAAGGGGAUCGAACCAGGGGUGGGAUCUCGAUCGGCUAGGGUUAGGAGGGAGUGGAUGGCCUGUUGGCUGGGCCAUGAUGCAAAUGGGCCGGCCUGGCUGCAUGUUGCGGCUGGUGGGCUGCUGUGCUCUCUCCUCCCUCAUUUCCAUUUAUAGAGAAAAAACAAGAAAGAAACAAAAGAGAGAAAAGAAGAUGGUUGGAGAAAGAAUUCGUGCACGAGGCCAAUUUUCUUGGACUCACAAAAAUGAGCUUGAUCCAAGAAAACUAUAA